rnacentral:tRNA from 1 species
AGUGUGGUGGCCGAGCGGUUAAGGCGUUGGAUUUAAGUUCCAUUGGACAUUAGUCCUCGUGGGUUCAAAUCCCACCCGCACUA